UACGUAGGCAGCGAGCGUUGUUCGGAGUUACUGGGCGUAAAGCGUGCGUAGGCGGUUUUGUAAGUUUGGUGUGAAAUCUCCCGGCUCAACUGGGAGGGUGCGCCGGAAACUGCAAGGCUGGAGUGUGGGAGAGGUAGGCGGAAUUCCUGGUGUAGCGGUGAAAUGCGUAGAUAUCGUCAAGAACACCCAGGGGGAAGGCAGUCGACUGGGCAACUACUGACGCUGAGGUGCGAGAGCGUGGGGAGCGAACCGG
rnacentral:rRNA from 1 species